rnacentral:lncRNA from 1 species
AAUUAAUUGAUAUUUUUUUUAAAAAAUCAAUCAUUUCGUUGAUGUUGUGAAACAAAAAAAAAAAAAUCAAUCAUCCUCUCGCAUGAAAUAUACAAUCCGAACCCGAGAGAGAAGGUGGCAAUCAGAACCAAAAAAAAUAAACCCUUAUCUCCUACCGUGACAAAAUUCAUCGCUAAGGUUCACCAAUCAGACGGCUCCAAUAGCCAUUCCCAACGUCUGCCGUCUUUUUCCCGUUUGGUUCACGAGAAUAACGGCCAGGAUGUCGAGCGAGAUGCUCCGUACCGGGACCAGCCCAGCCUGCAGCCGCACCGCGCGACACGCGUCCCCUAACCCCGUCCGAAAUAUCCCACCGGUCUCCGUUCCGCUCACCACUCGGUGAUCCCACGUCCCUCCACGUGUCCCCCUUCCAGAACUCCUCUUUG